rnacentral:lncRNA from 1 species
UUCUUUUAAAAUUUUCCUUUUUUUUUUUAACCCAUGCCAAAAAAAAAAUUAAAUAAAUAAAUAAAAGUUUAGUUUUUCAAGACUCUGAGUGGAAAGAUUGUCCCAGGAGUUUCCUGUUGGCGACCGUCCAGGGAGCGGGAAUGCCAGCAGUAACGUGAACAAUGCGCACUCGUCCCAGACCCGCCCGUGGGAAAACAGCCCCCGCUCCCAGCUUCGGGGCUCGAGCCCAGCGAAGCCAGGCCCGCACCACCCAGCUCCCGGUCUCUGUUUUUCUGUCUCUGAUUUCCCACCCCUUUCGCUCUGCCUCCUUCCAUCCCAAUCCUCUGUGCUUUUCCUUCCUCGUAGGUCUUUCUCCAGCAGAGUGCGUCUCUCCAAGGCUCUGACUGAAGUCCUCCUGGUGUUGGACUCGCCGCGUCUCUCUUUCUCCCUCUUUCUCCCCUCUGUGUGCACCCAGGGCGUCAUGAUGUUGCAGGCUGAGUGGCCAAAAAGACUCCGAAUCCCCAGGCUGGGAGCUGACGCAGGACAGGAGCUGCAUCUGGAACUCAGCAGCGAGAGUCGGCCACCGUGCCACUGGAGACUUUGUCAAGGUCGGUGGAGCCAGUCCAGAGAAGACGGACACUCUCCCUGUGCCCACAGCUGGUGGCUGAGUUCAUCAACUCUGCCGAGCCUCCGAGUCCUUGGCUGUGAACUUCGGUCCACAAUGUCUCCCACCCGCAAGGCUGGCUGUGGCAAGGACUGAACCAGGUGGUGGUGUGUGUGAGUGGGGGAAGUGAGGACCAGCAGCCCAGCUCAAGGCAAGCGCCCAGGCUUGUUGGUUGCUGUUUCCCCAGCCCCGGUUGUCCCAGGAUUGGACAUUGGUAAGAUCCCCAACUGUUCACCCAGACGCCAGCAUGCACCUGUUCCGGGUGAGGAAGCUGGCCCGAGGCCACGCUGGCCACGCCGAGCAGGUGCGCAUGCCCAAUUCAGCACCUCUUUCCGGUCUGCCUACGCCGUGCCAAGCAAAGUAGACUCUGUCGCUACCUCGGAGGAGCCUCCAAGGUCAGCAGCGAUAUCCACUCCAAGACCCAGCCACGCACCUCUGGGGUCAAGAGCCCAGUGUAGGAUGUGGAACCCUUGCCCA